UUUUCGGCAUUGUUAAAAUCAAGUUUCUUUUCAGUAUAAAUUUUGCAUUUUUUGAGUUUAGAAGUUGAAAAAUAGGUAAAAAGUUUGUUUAGGAAAUUAUCUUAAUAAAACUGAAUUAUAUUUUACAAAAAACAAAAUGUCGAAGCGUAUGUCUCGCUAUCCGAGCGAUAGAAAAGUAUAUGUCGGAGACCUCGGAAAUAAUGCUAGGAAAAAUGAGUUGGAAUACGCAUUUAGCGCUUAUGGCACACUACGAAGUGUUUGGAUAGCUCGAAAUCCACCUGGUUUUGCUUUUGUUGAAUUUGAAGAUGCAAGAGAUGCCGCAGAUUCUGUACGGGGGUUAGAUGGACGAAAUAUUUGUGGGCGAAGGGUUCGAGUUGAACUAUCUACGGGAAAAUUGGCUGGCUCAGGUCGUGAUAGACGUGGUUCAGGACGGAGUCGUCCAUUUAAUCCAGAUGAUAAAUGUUAUGAAUGUGGUGGACGCGGUCAUUACGCAAGAGACUGCAGACGCCGAAGACCAUCGAGUCGUCGUAGAAGUCGGAGCCGUAGUCGCUCACGUUCAUAUUCUAGAGAUCGUCGUACUAGAUCACGUACUGGCUCUAGAUCAGAUAGAUCAAAAAGCCGGUCGCGUUCUCGUUCACGCUCAAAAAGUUCACGUAAUGAUUCCAGAAUGAAAAGUUCAAACCGCAGUAAUGAACGCCGUUCAUCUCGUGAAAAUGCUAAUGGUAAUGGUGAAGUUCACCAACAUAGUGGUGACGAAUCUCCACAUGGAGGAGGUGGUGGUGUAAGAAGCGGACGAAGUGACCGCGAUAGAAGCAGCAGCAAACGUCGUUAUAACUCGUCUCGAUCUAAAUCGAGAAGUAGAAGAAGCCGAAGUAAUUCGAGGAAUCGUAACUCUAGAUCAAGGUCUAGAACUGGACGCAAUACAGAUUAAGGAAAAAAUGUUGCGAAAAAAAUGAAGGACGUCAAAGAAAAAAAUUAAAUACUGCGAGUAAUUCGCAAAUGAAAGAAAAAUUUCAAUUUCAAAUAUCGUCUUAAUUUUUAACAAAUGACGACAAGAAAAUUCAUAAAGAAAACAUCAAAUUUAUUCAAUUAUAAUAAUCAUUCACAAAUUCAAAAUGUUGUUUAUCGAACAUUUAAGAAUCAAAACAUGAUCAACAUCGAAUUUAGAUUUAAUGUAUAAAAAUAUCAGUAUUAGAUCAAGGGUUCUUCAUCUGAACAAAAGUUUUCAUCUGAACGAAUAUUCAUCUGAAUAAUUAUAAAAUUGAAUCAGAAAUCCAGUAAAAUACCAGGUUUUCAUCUGAUCCAAUAUCAAGCUUAUAAACCGUUUUCAUCUGAUCUAAAAUCAUGUUUAUAUGUUGCUUUCAUCUGAUCCAAAAAAAAACUAAAUACUGUGUUCAAUAGUUUACAUCUGGUCCAAAAACCGAAUCAGUUAUUCACAUCUAGAGUUCAGAGAAUAAUCAAUUUUACGUAGUUCUCAUCUGAUCCAAUAUAACAAGAAUUCAAAAGUAAAAAAGUAUCACGUUCAGUUCAUCUUCAUCUAAGUUGAGUUAUUUAAAAUAUCAAAGCAAAUCAUCGUAGUAAGCAACUGAUAUCUGCUGGUAAUUGUGAAUGCCUACAUGUUUUCUACUUCAGCACCGAAAGCCAUACUCAUUUGUGUAAUACAUAUUUUGAACAUCAUUGUUCGAGAUACAACAGUGUGAAUACUAAGUUGAGAUUAUGUGUCUUAACGACAUAACGAUAUUGUAGAAAAUAGCAAAUGCUAACAAUGAAUAAUGACGGAAUAUUUGAUCUUUGGGAAGGGCUUUUUAUAAAAAAAUUUCUAAUUUUAGAUUUCACGAGGUGCCCGUAGUGUGAUAGUAAAAAAUUAUUUUGAAAUUUUAAUCAAUUUUACUUCCUAAAACAUUCUGGAAAAAGCUUUGUAAAUUUGUUUUCUAAAUUAAUUCUAAUUUGAAUAUGCUUACAUUUAAAAAAGAAAUUGUAUUGAAGGGGAUAGAAUUUUGUAAGUUUUCUUUUAUUCACUUCUUUUAAGUCAAUUUCACUAAAUAGAGUAUGUACAUAUGUGUGCAUGCAUACUAACUAAUCCUAAGUAACAUUUGAUAAUCAAUUAUUUUAUAUUACCAAAAAUGUAGAAAAGAGUAUAAUAUGGCACCUUUCUCUCGAGAAUUAUUUUAAAAAAAAUAUAAGAUCUCAAAUAUGCUCUUAAACAGCGGGUUUAAGUUUGGAGGGAUAAAAAAAAAUUUUUAAAUAUUUUGCAUGUUUUUUUUUGUUUUUAGCUAGAUUGGUGUGUCAACAGUACUGACUCAGUAUCCUAACAGGAAUUAAAUAAUUAUUGUAUGGAUUUAUCACAUAAAAAUAGAUCAUCUUGGCAGAUACUAUGUAAGUAAAUUAAUUUAAAAAUGAUUUGUAAGCUUUACUUUUGGAAUUAAAUAUGAAAAAUUUUUGA